rnacentral:rRNA from 1 species
GAACGGGUGAGUAACCGUGGGUGAUCUGCCCUGCACUUUGGGAUAAGCCUGGGAAACUGGGUCUAAUACCGAAUAGGACCACGCGCUUCAUGGUGUGUGGUGGAAAGCUUUUGCGGUGUGGGAUGGGCCCGCGGCNNNNNAGCUUGUUGGUGGGGUAAUGGCCUACCAAGGCGACGACGGGUAGCCGGCCUGAGAGGGUGACCGGCCACACUGGGACUGAGAUACGGCCCAGACUCCUACGGGAGGCAGCAGUGGGGAAUAUUGCACAAUGGGCGCAAGCCUGAUGCAGCGACGCCGCGUGAGGGAUGACGGCCUUCGGGUUGUAAACCUCUUUCAAUAGGGACGAAGCGCAAGUGACGGUACCUAUAGAAGAAGCACCGGCCAACUACGUGCCAGCAGCCGCGGUAAUACGUAGGGUGCGAGCGUUGUCCGGAAUUACUGGGCGUAAAGAGCUCGUAGGUGGUUUGUCGCGUUGUUCGUGAAAACUCACAGCUUAACUGUGGGCGUGCGGGCGAUACGGGCAGACUAGAGUACUGCAGGGGAGACUGGAAUUCCUGGUGUAGCGGUGGAAUGCGCAGAUAUCAGGAGGAACACCGGUGGCGAAGGCGGGUCUCUGGGCAGUAACUGACGCUGAGGAGCGAAAGCGUGGGGAGCGAACAGGAUUAGACACCCUGGUAGUCCACGCCGUANACGGUGGGUACUAGGUGUGGGUUCCUUCCUUGGGAUCCGUGCCGUAGCUAACGCAUUAAGUACCCCGCCUGGGGAGUACGGCCGCAAGGCUAAAACUCAAAGGAAUUGACGGGGGCC